ensembl:lncRNA
AUUUGAGUGAAUAUGAGUUGUGGGAUUUCAACGGAGAACAAAAAUGGGAAUAUGGACAGAGUGGAAGAGUCAGGAUCUGUUUACUCUCCUAGCAUGAACUUCACGUUAUAACGUUAUCCUGGCGAUAUCAGGUAAGAAAACAUUUCCCUGUUGUUUUUCUAAGUUAAUACCCUAACGUAAUGUUUGUGUUCAUAUCCAUAAUUUAGACUGUAACGUUGUCAGACUGUUAGGUUAGCUCACAGGUGUCAAACCGGUUCCACGGAGGGCCGAGUGUCUGCAGGUUUUUGCUCUCUCCUUGUACUUGAUUGGUUAAUUAGGUCACUGAUUGGUUAGUUUCUACCCUCACCUGGUUGUGUAGGUAUGAACUAGGAACCAAUUUAAAGGAAAAACCAAAAACCUGCAGACACUCGGCCCUCCGUGGAACCGGUUUGACACCCCUGGGUUAGCUAAAUGCUGAGUAAUUAACGUUAACUGAUGUUAAAGGUAACUUAAUGUGGUAACGUUAUCUAACAUUAGCUAGCUUGUUAAGCUCGGCUUGAUUCAUGUUAGCAAAACACAACGUUAAUAUUGAGUGUGGUUUUAGUCGAGAUGGUUUGCUUGUUCUGUUUACAGGCAGCAAAUAUUUAUAAUACCAUUAACGUUAUGGUACUAACAUUACAGACACUUGUUGCUGAGUCAACCUAAUGUUCAGCUCAGUAAUAGCGUUAACGUACGUUACGUAUAACAUUGUACUUGCUUGUCUAAGUUUCAAUGAAUGUAAAUGUAUGUUAAGUUCUAUGUAUGUGUUUAUUGUUUACAUAAUACAUACAUUCACUGAUAUUAUUUUAAUUCCAGAGAGAUGCUCAUCAAGGCAAGGUGAUGAUUGCCAGAGGGAAAACAAAGAACCUGUAGUUGUGCAUCACCUGUGUGAUCAUGAUAAGGCUGAAGAACCAGAAGUGACAAGAUAUCACCGGCUGCUGGGGUGCAGCAUUAAACCCAUGGACAGUCUCCUGCCACAAGAUCUUAGGAGCCAGAGCAGAUCCAGACAAUUACUGCCCAUUUGGAGGAAGUCUGAUCUUUCUGCUGUGUUGCACAUCUGUUACAGAUUAAUUGACCUUUUGUGGUAUGUUUUAAUUUUACUUAAAAUACACUGUAUAGUUAGGAUUCUUAAAUGUUAUCAGAACUACCUUAUACAGAGCCCCCAAGGGUUAAGAGAAUGAAGAAGAAGAAGACCACAACUCCCUCAGCUCAACAGCACAAUUUGUUGCUUCCUCCAUCCAUUUCAAAGGGGAAAUAUUGACCUAAUUUUGAUAGAAAAUCUUACAGACACACAUGUUACACACAUGGAGAACUACCAUUUUUAGUUUUUCAGUUCCUCCUGGGGGGCUCUAAAGAACUGUUUGUGAA